GCACAGCUCGGCCAGCACCAUCGCUGGGAGAGAAAGAAGAAACGUGCAGGAGAGGGAAGCGGGGUUCAAGCUGACCCAUCUCCUUCUACGGAGACGAUGCCAUAGUCCCUAAGAGAGGACGACAAGGCCACAGAAUCCAGCCUUUCUGCCUGAGGCCUAACCACACGAGGGCCCCACCCUUGUGAUGCCACAGGGAGAAUUUCGUGAGGUGCCCUCAGACCACCUGGUUGAACACAACAGGGCUUUCAGACACGCAGGUCUUGCCAGACCCCUCACCUCUGGGGUCAGAUUCUGGAGGUGGGCCUGGAAGCCUCCAGUUUUUCACUUUUGAUGCCAUCUUUAUUGAGCUUUAAUUUCCAUACCACACAUUCACCCAUCUUAAGUAUAAAGACCCCACCCUUUAGAGGUCAUCCCUCAUUCCCGGAGCCCCAGCACCAACCGGCCACUCUCUGUCUCUGCGGAUGUGCCUGUGUGGACAGCUCAUGUAAGUGGAAUCAACUCAUUGUCCUUGUGUGUCUGGCGUCUCUCACUGAGCACCGUGUUUUCGAGGUUCAUCCACACUGUAGCCUGUGUUGUUGCUUCACUGCUUUUCAUGGCUGAGUGACAUUCACCCUCUCUGCUUUUAACUCUAUAAUUUAUUGUGAAUUUCUGCCUGCACUGCACAGGGCUGAUCAGAAAUUCAUCUUCCGUCCUUCUUGGGGUGUAAACUGCACUUUUAACCAACAUCCAGGGGUCCUGUGCAGAGGCUGAAAGCCCAGCGCCACACAGGGCACAGUCCCCCUGUGUGACCAGAGCCCAGGAGGAAAGCAGAUAAUGUUGCCCAGAAAAGAAGCAAGCCUCUUACCUAAGCCAGCCCCUUGAAGAGGUCCGAGCCUGCCUGGUCUCUUGACCUGGGCAGGAGAGUGCAACUCCUGGCCUGAGUGUGAAGGACACCAGGAAGUAUCCAUGUGAGGUUCCCCUUUGCAGCUGCAGCCGUGGACGGGCAGAUGAGGUGCAGCAGGGCAACUCCGUCCUCACAGGACUUGAUCCAUGUGGUCUGGGGGCGACAGACAGCGGUUUGAUGAGGACCAGCCACACAUGGAGUGAACAGAAGCAGCUCUGGCCGCUUCAGGAAAGCACACCCCCUGGGAAGAAUCACUGAGUGCUUGCUCCAGGCACAACCCCAGCCCUGGACAGCAUGACAUUUGACAACCCGUGACUUUCCUGGGGUCUUUCCUUUCAUGUAGAGAAAAGCUGAGAAGAACUGCUUGUAUUAAAAAAGUGACACCUUUGUGUUCACCCCUCUCACCAGUACUGCGGACACCUUGUCCUCGUGGGCUCCACUCAGGGCAGUGGUUCUCCUGUUGCUGGAGGAUGGACGAGGCACAUGUGCAGAACUGUUCUGGUUCCACCCACAGCUGAUGUCCUGCUGCCUGGUGAAGCCACCUGCCCUAUCUCCUGUCCUUGCCCUGGGCUGGGAAAGGCAGGCAGUCUUGUGUUACGGGCAUGUGCCUGCUGUGGACUAAAUUGUGUCCUCAAAAUUCACAAGUUGUGUCCUCAACCCCAGGACCUCAGGAUGGGACUGUGUUUGGAGAUGAGGUCUUUAAAGAGGUGAUUAAAAUAAAAUGAGGACUUCCUAGGUGGCACAGUGGUUAAGAAUCCACCUGCCAAUGCAGGGGACAUGGGUUUGAGUCCCACUCUGGGAAGAUUCCACAUGCCACGGAGCAACUAAGCCCGUGAGCCACAGCUAUUGAGCCCGUGUGCUGCAACUAGUGAAGCCCACGUGCCUAGAGCCCAUGCUCUGCAGCAAGAGAAGCCAUUGCAAUGAGGAGUCCUCGCACCACAAUGAAGACUAGCCUCAACUCUCAGCAACUAGAGAAAGCCCGUGUGUAGCAACGAAGACCCAAUGCAGCCAAUAAUAAAUAAAAUAAUUAAACAAAAAAGUAAAAUGAAGCCACUAGGGUGGGCUGGUGCCGUUAUAGGAGGAGGAGAUUAGGACACAGACACACAGAGGGACGACCAUAUGAGGACACAUGGAGAAGACGGCUGUCCACACACCAAGGAGAGAGGCCUCAGGAGGAACCAGCCCUGCUUGACACCUUGCUCUGGAACUUCCAGCUUCCAAGACUGUGAGAAAUAAACGUCUGUUGUUUAAGCAGCCCUGUGUGUUGUAUUUGCUAUGGUAGCCAAGUUAAGACAACUUGCAUUAUGGGGACUUAAAGAUUUAAUGUCCUGGGAGGAGGGGGCUGCACCAGGGUCCCUCUGCAUGUGAGCUGCUCUGCAUGCAGGAGCUCCAGGGAGGCCAGUUGCA